rnacentral:tRNA from 2 species
ACUUCGGUUAAGCUGGUCGGUAUAGAUGACAAAAAAGGUCUUCUAAGCCUAAGGUCACUGGUUCAAAUCCAGUCCGGGGUACCA